ACUCUUAGUACAGAGCAAGGGGCUGCUCAGGGUCUUCCCUGCACUGGUGGGUGGCCUUAGCUCCCCUGUGGCUUCCCUUGCUUAGGUUUCUGGAGGCAGUUUACUGAAUAAAUGUCACUUCCACAGAGACUUGCCAAGAGUUUAAAUAUGGGAGUCAGUUAACAGCACACACGUCAGUCCCAAGGCUCCUGAGAGAUGCUUCCUUUAGGGCAAAGUGGCUCAAAGACUCCUGUGCUGAAGGAGUAGGUGUGCGGUUGUCUCACUUCCUGUUCUGCUCCCUCUCAUGGCCCUUGCCUCUCUUCCAAGACACGCUCCAGGGUGGGUCAGAAGAAAAGACAGCUUGGCAAUGACUAAGAAGCCUUCUCUCCUCAGACAUGGUGGGAUGUACUCUGAUCUAAGCAGGCAUCUGGCCAGAGACCCACAGGGAGCUCUGUGGUUGGCCUCAGAUGACCUAGAGGACAAAGGGAGGUCAGUGACUCCUGUUGUCUGCGAGUGUGAUGCUGGAGGUGGAGGUGGGACAAAGCCAUCAUGUCUUUGAAGAAAGCUUCUGGCCUCAAGCCAGACUCAGGAUUUUGGAGACUCGAGCCUCUCCUGGACAUGUGCACCUUGACAGUAGCGGCUUCUAAUUGUCCUGUGAAGGGAAAUGAUGGAACAGGCUCUGGUCGGCUUUUCUGGGGACAGACAGAGAAGUGUGACUCCUGCCAAAGUCACGGGAUGCACACAAAGUCCAGAACCCGAACAGGAAAAUGCAGCAGGAAAGGACACCGCAGCAGCCACCAUCCUGGGGCUGCUGUGCACGGGGCAGUCCUGCCCCUGGAACUUGGCCAGAGGCCAGGCGAGUGCCCACAGCCCUUCUAGGGGCCUUUGUCACUGGCCUGCUUGCCCAGGUCUCCUUCAUCUCUGCUGCUGCCACACCUUUCAGGCCUGUUCUGGGUCUGAUGUGAUGCAGAACACUCUGCUCCGUCACUUGGGAAAUGGAAACUUCAUCACUAGCGUUUCCACCCCAAAGAACUAGACAGCACACUGGGAAGUUGCCAAAGGAAGGGACUUCAGCCUCCCAGGAGUUAACAACAUUUCUCCCCAGCUGUCCUCCCCUUGGUGCUCCUUUUCCUCCCUCCUCCUGCUCACAGCAGGCAGGGCCUGGAACCAGGAGCCAUGCUGCUGUGCUGUUGCCAGGGGAGCUGGGAGGCAGAUCAGAGCUAUGCAGGGGAAAGGCUCAGCCUGUCAAAGUGUCUGAGAUGAACCACCGCCAUCCCCGUGCAGCUGGGCUCCAUGUGUCUCAAGGCUCUUGUUCUGCGCCUGAGAACAGGGAAACCCAGCGAGGUUCAAGGGCACACUCGCUAUUCAUCAGUCAGGGGUUCUUGACGGUCCUGCCUCUCCCAGAGAUGGGUUCCCCCCUUCCUCUUUCUCUCCCUCCUGUGACACAAUCCUGGGUGCCUAUGGUGAGGACUGCACACCCCCUCCCUACUGCUCCCCCCCAAACCCUGAAUCAACUCUUAUUAAGGAGGCCAGGCAGGACAGAGACAAUGGCUUCAAGAAAUCAUUCAGGCAGGACCCCAGCCACAUUCGCCUGCCCUUCACUCCCAGUGCCCCUGUAGAUCCCACUCUGCAGUGAUUCAGGGCACCCUUGGGCCCCCAGCUUGCAUAUGCUUAGACAGGAGCAGGCCACUAGGUGCUGCCCUACACAACAGGCCAGUGCACUAUUCUCAGUGUUAUUCUCAGUGGCCCCUUGGUCCCUCUGUCCCACUGGCUGGAUAUUUUUGUGCAGUUGGCUGGAAAGUAGAAACUGUACAAUAUUUUCUGAAAUGUGGUAAUAUCAAAAUGUAAAAGACAUAUAUACUUGAUUACUAAUCUCAUCCAGAUACACUGGAAAUGUUUGCUAAGAAGCAUGGACAAAGAGCUGUGGUUGAAGGAAUGAGUCAUUCCUUUCUAUGGAGUACCGCAGAGGCAGCUCGUGCAGGCUGAUAGGGAAGGCUCCAAUAUACUCAAGUGCAGAAUAAAGUACAAACGGUCAAGUAAAGGACAAACGUGUUCCUGUUUGUAUAUACCUAAAGUCAGUCACGGACUCGGGAGUGAGCGCCAUGGUAAAAUGCACCCAGCAUGCAUACAAGAGGCCGAGAGCCAAGUAAAACUGUGUCAGCCACAAGAACGUCUGUAUGGAUGGCCCUGAAGCAAGCAUUGCACAGCAGCCUCCGGAAGCAGGAGGCAUUUCUUCCUUGUUUUUGUGUUUGUUUUCUCUCUGUGUUUGUGAAAAGGGAAAGGGUAGUUGUCACUUAAUAGGUAUAACUUCUCUCAGCCAAUGAAGGGUGUGCACUCUGAGACAAGGUGGUGAUGUGGCAGAGAAGUGUCUUGACAGUACUGGUGGCUUCUGGCCACUGGCGUUUCUCCAACCACAUGUCAUCAUUAUGGCUGCCACUGUUAAUCAAAAGCCCACUUAGUUCCA